rnacentral:rRNA from 1 species
GACGAACGCUGGCGGCGUGCUUAACACAUGCAAGUCGAACGGAAAGGCCCUGCUUUUGUGGGGUGCUCGAGUGGCGAACGGGUGAGUAACACGUGAGUAACCUGCCCUUGACUUUGGGAUAACUUCAGGAAACUGGGGCUAAUACCGGAUAGGAGCUCCUGCUGCAUGGUGGGGGUUGGAAAGUUUCGGCGGUUGGGGAUGGACUCGCGGCUUAUCAGCUUGUUGGUGGGGUAGUGGCUUACCAAGGCUUUGACGGGUAGCCGGCCUGAGAGGGUGACCGGCCACAUUGGGACUGAGAUACGGACCAGACUCCUACGGGAGGCAGCAGUGGGGAACAUUGCACAAUGGGCGGAAGCCUGAUGCAGCAACGCCGCGUGCGGGAUGACGGCCUUCGGGUUGUAAACCGCUUUCGACUGUGACGAAGCGUGAGUGACGGUAAUGGGUAAAGAAGCACCGGCUAACUACGUG